rnacentral:rRNA from 1 species
GACGAACGCUGGCGGCGUGCUUAACACAUGCAAGUCGAACGCUGAAGCUCAGCUUUUGUUGGGCGGAUGAGUGGCGAACGGGUGAGUAACACGCGAGUAACCUGCCCCUUUCUUUGGGAUAACGCUCGGAAACGGGUGCUAAUACUGGAUAUUAACUGGUCUUCGCCUGGGGGCUGGAGGAAAGGGCUGUUUUGGUGGGGGAUGGGCUCGCGGCCUAUCCGCUUGUUGGUGGGGUGAUGGCAUACCCAGGCGUUGACGAGUAGCCGGCCUGAUAGGGUGACCGGUCACAUAGAGACGGGGAUACGGCCCAGACUCGGACGGAGGAGAGAAGUGGGGAAUAUGGCAGAAUGGGCGAAAGCGUGAUGCAGCGUCGGCGCGUGAGGGAUGGAGGCCGUCGGGUUGUGAACCUCUUUCGCAAAAGGUCAGGCCGUAACAAUGGUUGUGGUGAGGGUAGUGGGUAAAGAAGCGCCGGCUAACUACGUG